UUAAUUAAGUUUUUUAUUUUUAUUAUUAUUAUAUUAUUUUAAUUGAAAUAACUUUUUAUUUAGUAUAUUUUAUAGAAAUAUUUAAUUUUAAUUAUAGUUUAUUUUACUGUGAAGGAUUAAAAUUUAAUUAUAGGAAGUAUAAUUUUUAUUAGUACCUUUUGUAUCAGGGUUUAUUUAUUAAUUAAUAUCUAUUUUAUUAAUUCCCGAAAUUAUAAGAGUUAUCUUAAAAUGUUUUUUACUGUGUCAAAAUUAUUUAUAAUUUUAAGAUAGGGGUUAUAUGCUAUUCAAUUAUAAUAUAUCUGGUUACUUAAGAAAUGAAUUUAAUUCAUAAUUAUUAUGUUAAUUUUUAUAUUUAUUUAUUUUAAUAUAAUAAUUAAAAAUUAUGGGGGAUUAGCUCUAUAAUUUAUUUUAUAAAGAUUUUUAUUAAUUAAUUUUUGUAGGCUUGAUAACAGCCAUCUAAAAUUUCGUUAUAGUUUAUAUUAUUUAUUUAAUUUAUUUUAAUUCUUUUAUUUAUAUUAUUAAGUACUAUUAUUUAAUUUUUUAAUAUUAGUUAUAAUGAUAGAAUUAGUAGUUUUUAUUAUUUAAGUAUAGUAAUUCGGCAAAUUUUAUCUUCGCCUGUUUAACAAAAACAUGUCUUAUAGAUAUUAAUUUUAAGUCUAGCCUGCUCAAUGAUUAUUAAAUUAAAUAGCCGCAGUAUACUGACUGUGCAAAGGUAGCAUAAUCAUUUGUCUUUUAAUUGGAGGCUUGUAUGAAUGGUUGGACGAGGGAUAAACUUUCUUUACUUAAUUUUUAUGAAUUUAAUAUUUUAGUCAAAAAGCUAAAAUAUUUUUGUGGGACGAGAAGACCCUAUAGAAUUUUAUUAUUAUACUAAUGAUUUUAAAUGAAUUUUUUAAUUUAAUUUAUUAAUAUAAUAAUUUGGUUGGGGUGAUUGUGAAAUUUAAUUAACUUUUAUUUUUAAUUUAUUCAUUAAUUAUUGUUUAUACUGAUCCUUUUUUAGGGAAUAAAAGAUUAAAUUACCUUAGGGAUAACAGCGUAAUUCUUUUGGAGAGUUCUUAUCGAUAAAGGAGUUUGCGACCUCGAUGUUGGAUUAAAGUUAAUUUUUGGUGUAGCAGCUAAAUAUAUUAGGUCUGUUCGACCUUUAAAUCUUUACAUGAUCUGAGUUCAGACCGGCGUGAGCCAGGUUGGUUUCUAUCUACAAUUAAUUUUGAUGUUUUAGUACGAAAGGACCAAAUAUCAAUAAUAUUUAUUAAUAUUUGAUUUAUAUUAA
rnacentral:rRNA from 1 species